rnacentral:rRNA from 1 species
AUUGAACGCUGGCGGCAGGCCUAACACAUGCAAGUCGAAUGGUAACAGGAAACAGCUUGCUGUUUCGCUGACGAGUGGCGGACGGGUGAGUAAUGUCUGGGAAACUGCCUGAUGGAGGGGGAUAACUACUGGAAACGGUAGCUAAUACCGCAUAACGUCGCAAGACCAAAGAGGGGGACCUUCGGGCCCCUUGCCAUCAGAUGUGCCCAGAUGGGAUUAGCUAGUAGGUGGGGUAACGGCUCACCUAGGCGACGAUCCCUAGCUGGUCUGAGAGGAUGACCAGCCACACUGGAACUGAGACACGGUCCAGACUCCUACGGGAGGCAGCAGUGGGGAAUAUUGCACAAUGGGCGCAAGCCUGAUGCAGCCAUGCCGCGUGUAUGAAGAAGGCCUUCGGGUUGUAAAGUACUUUCAGCGGGGAGGAAGGGAGUAAAGUUAAUACCUUUGCUCAUUGACGUUACCCGCAGAAGAAGCACCGGCUAACUCCGUG